rnacentral:lncRNA from 12 species
AAAAAAAAAUGUUCCAACAUUGCCAACAUAUGAGACAGCAGAAGAAUACAGAUUUCUUUGUAUCUCAGUGUGUAUAUAAAAUUAGUACAGAGCUCCAGAAAGGUAUGAAAGAGCCCUACCCAGGGAGCAAGUGCACUGUGCCAGGCAAUUGGAGUUGUACUGUGCUAUUUCCUGUGCCCUAUUUUCACAGACAAACAAUUUCUGUCACCAAAAAAAUGCACGAAAGUUCAGAAAUUUCAAGGGUCCCCG